UCCCCGGUGGCUCAGUGGUAAAGAAUCCGCCUGCCAAGCAGGAGACACAGGUUCCAUCCCUGGAUGGGGAA
rnacentral:tRNA from 1 species